CACCAAGGUACACACAGCAGGUACCCAUCUCAUCCUCUACUCCUGUUAGGUAGAUGAGAUCCUUCGCAGACAUUCAUACCAGGACUGGUUCUGCGUCAGGUAUCAUUACGUCGCUAAAAGUAGCGUCAGUAACUCAAGUAGCACCAACAUAUCUUCCAAUCCAGAAUGCUGAAAGAGUGACAUGUCCAGAGAUCCUUAGGUGAAGUUGCAUAGCGGUCUCAGGCAUUAUCCACAACACCAGGUGGGGUCCCCAAAGUACAACAGCGGUUGCUGGGCCAAGCAUUCCCUCCGACCUCACUUGUCUGUAUCCAAGGUACUAACCCUCACGCACUUGCUCGUAUAAGAUUCUGGGAAUCACUGAGAUGUAAACACUGUGCUUACUGGCCUGAUGGGCCUUUGUAUAGUUACGACCCUCCUUUCACCGCCUACCCAGCUUCCACCACUGGUUAACAAUGGCCAAGGUCGUAUGUACAGAAGCAGUAGAAAUCUCACAAGUGUUAUCGAAUUACCACGACGAUUGUUAUCAGAGUACAGACAAACAACAAGCAGAUGAGUGACGGGCAGCAUGUUGUGUGUGAGAAUCGAUAUCAAGACUCCAGUAAAACACAUUUUCGACUCUGGGUGCCAAAGUUCUACUGUCUUGCUGUAGACGGUGCAUCCCCAAUGUAUUAGAGACAUACCACCAGCGUGAAAAGGCCAGUACCCGGAUAUGAAAUGUGUAACCCCAGAGCUUCAGUAGCCUACCCUUAGGAUAUCAAAAGCUUAUCCAAAGUAUCAACAACCCAGCCUAGCAUGCCAAAAGUCUAGUCCCAUGGUGUUAACUGCAUAGUUCUAGGUGUAAACGGUUUAGCCCUUGGAUGUCAAAAGCCUAACCCCAUGGUGAUAACAGAAUAUCCCUAAGUUGCCAACUUCUUAGCCUGAAUAUAUUAACAACUUAACCCUGGAAUUAAAAAAGUAUAACGCUCGUCUUUCAUCGGCAGCCACAGAGCCCAAACAUACCUACUUCGGACCCCAGCACUCAUCAAACAACUGCCCCUUGGCUUUCUGUGCCCAGGGACAACAGUACCUCUAGACCCCUCCAUGUUGGGCCCUUCCCAUGGGUGCUACACUCAGAUUCCUCAUACCUUCACACACAUAAAUGCUUAAUGUUUAUGAUUCAUCACUUAAUUCUUGCUGAGUUUAGAAACCCAGAUGUUUUUUUAAUAAGUGAAAGUAAAAUAACUUUUCAACAAGGGGAAAUUCAAAUUUCAUCCCAAGGAAGAGCACAUUUUAGUCAGUAGUAUCUCAGUCCAGAUCUAGAAGUCCGGAUCCCUGAUCCAACACUUCUUAAGUUGAAGAUCUUUGGAAUUUUAAGGCAUCAUAAUUCGAGAAUCAUAGAGAAUGGCUCUUGAUCAAAGAAUAACCUCCUAACAAGUUCAUAGGAGUUAAUGAUACAGGUGGUCCAUACGGUCCAUACCCAGUUAAGACUCUCCCUAAUUAGGACAAAAAACUGUAGCCCAACUCUGCCAGACUCAAUAAGAGUGUAGGGCUGUAGCAGUGGUGCAUCAUGCAACUUGGGGAGGGGGCGCGGCAGGUGGGACAGCCUUGUUGGAGCCACGCUCAGUGCAGGCGCUCACAGGAACACUCACACUGCACUGACCUCAUCUGUACUUGUAAUAGCGGGUUUCAUAACCAUGGAGGGAGGUGCUCUCGGAACUUCUGGGAGGACUUAGGGCUGCAGCAGUGGGAACUCCUGCUGGUGGCGCUCGUCAUCACCCUGGUGUUCCUUGCUAUCUUCAUGGGCUGCAUGUAUUUCUUCGUCUCGAAACUCGCCAGAAGGUACCGCCAGACUAUACCUGCGGAUGGGCUGGUCCCCAGCAGCUUCCAAGGCAGCGUCCCCAGCAGCAAGAUAAACAGCAUCGCAGACGGCAGCCUGAAGAGCAUUCGUGUCCUGGAGACUCAGCUAGUGGGCGGGGCGAUGGUGGAGAGCCAGAUGGUGGAGCGGAAGACGUUGACAGGUCAGCAGGGGAGCAGAGAGUUGGUGCUUGACGUUGACAAGUUGUGGCCUGCGUCACUCACGCUGCCAGCCACACAAUUCAUCCUUCCUCUCGAUUACCAACAUAACACCACUGGUAACGGCAGCCUAACCAUGGAUAUGUGUAUACCCAAGAGCUGCAUUAAUAUUCCCUUUUUAGAAAAUUAUCAACCAAUGAAAAUGAUGAAUGGACGCAUGUCUGGACAGAGUACAUCAAGCUUGUCCCGGAAGAGCAGCAACAUAUCGUGGUCUUCGCGUGGGUGGGAGUCACUCACCACUGACACUGAGUCUGAAUUAUAUAACUCCAACAGACGACAGUUCCGUGCUGCCUCCGCCAGGAGAGACGCUGGCAAGACCUACCGUCCUCUGCUCCUCAGGACCUCCACUUUUUCCGAGAGUGAUGAGUCACCAUGAGCGCUAUAGUCUUCUGACACAUCAAUUCUAGGAUUUCUGCUGUUUAUUAUUUUAUUUAUUUCUUCACAUCAGUCUCAUUAUAGUUCAGCAGAGUCUUAGACAAACAAGUGGCGUAGUGGAGAGUUGAAGAGGGAGGCUACUGAGGUGCAGGCGAGGGUAUGGGCGAGUCGGUGGUUGAGGUAGGCUGUGGUCUGGAGAUGUCGAUGACUGAGGUGAGUUGCUGUCAGAUUUCUUGAAAUAUGAGAGCAAUGACUUUUGGGUGCAUUUCAUUUUCUUUUCUCGCAGGAUUUCUUUGUAGCACUGCAUAGCCGAAAGUACAUUUCUAUUAACUUUUAAGCUACGAUCACUAUUUAUAUCGUCUUCAUCUAUAAUAGCCAAACCAUGCUCAAUUAAAGUGAAUGCCUCUGUCAACCGCUUUGCUGUUAAGAGUUCAAACGACCUCAGGCUCCUCUUUCUUCUCUGCUUCCUCAUCUUCUCGCUCUUUUUCUAAGUCAAGUAAAUCUUGGGGCCAAAGUUCUUUAUGUGAGUCAAAUAACUCCUGCACGUCAUCAACUCCACCUCUUGAAGACCUACUUUCUUUGCCAAACUCACAAUGUUUUCUCUGGAUUUACACAGAUCACUUUCAAUACUAAAACUUCUAAAGUCAUGCACAAGAUGUGGACACAGUUUUUUCCAAACUCCAUUCAUACAUGAACGACUAACUUUGUCCCAUGCCUCACCAACAAACAUUAUAGUCUCUUAAUGUUAAAAGAUUUCCAGAAUUCUUUAAGUCAUUUUUCCAUCAUCAGUAGCCUUCACUACAGCAUCAAAUGUUUUGUUGAGAUAAUAAGCCUUAUAUGUACUAAUCACUCCUUGAUCCAAAGGCUGAAUGAGGGAUGUCGUAUUUGGUGGAAGAUAGACAACUUGAAUGUUUUCACAAAGAUCUUGAAAUGAAGGUCGAUAUCUGGGGAAGUGUUAUCCACUAGCAUUAAUAUUUUAAAAGAAAGAUUCUCACGUUCACAAUAUUCAUGUAACUCAUCUUUCAGCUUUGACACAACAUUAUCACAGAAAAGACUAUUAGUAAUUCACCUCUUGUUAUUUGAAAAGUAGUGAACUGGUAAGAGAUGUUUAGGAUAACCCUUGAGAGCAUGUGGGUUUGCAGAGUGGGACACCAUCACUGGUUUUCAUUUGCAGUCACCUUCAGCAUUACCUCCAAACAAUAAGGUACAGUGACCCCUCGUUUAACGAACGCCUCGGUUAACGAACUGCCUUCCAUAAGGAUCUUCAGUUCGGUUAACGAACAAAAAUUCGGUUAAUGAA